ACUGUUACUGACGCUGAGGCUCGAAAGCGUGGGGAGCAAACAGGAUUAGAUACCCUGGUAGUCCACGCCGUAAACGAUGAGUGCUAGGUGUUGGGGCCGACAGGUUUCAGUGCCGCAGUUAACACAUUAAGCACUCCGCCUGGGGAGUACGAUCGCAAGAUUGAAACUCAAAGGAAUUGACGGGGGCCCGCACAAGCAGCGGAGCAUGUGGUUUAAUUCGAAGCAACGCGAAGAACCUUACCAGGACUUGACAUCCCACAGAUCGAAUUAGAGAUAAUUCCUUCCCUUCGGGGACUGUGGUGACAGGUGGUGCAUGGUUGUCGUCAGCUCGUGUCGUGAGAUGUUGGGUUAAGUCCCGCAACGAGCGCAACCCUUACCUUUAGUUGCCAGCAGGUUAAGCUGGGCACUCUAGAGGGACUGCCGGUGACAAACCGGAGAAAGGUGGGGAUGACGUCAAAUCAUCAUGCCCCUUAUGUCCUGGGCUACACACGUGCUACAAUGGUCGGUACAACGGGUAGCCAACCCGCAAGGGGGAGCUAAUCCCAAUAAGCCGAUCCCAGUUCGGAUUGUGGGCUGCAACUCGCCCACAUGAAGUUGGAGUUGCUAGUAAUCGCGGAUCAGAAUGUCGCGGUGAAUGCGUUCCCGGGCCUUGUACACAC
rnacentral:rRNA from 1 species